UUCUAACCUUUUCUGUCAUUU
rnacentral:piRNA from 1 species